rnacentral:lncRNA from 1 species
CAGCCCUUCUCCCAGUCUCUGCCUCUGAGUGGGAGGGUAGUGCCCCUUCACAGGGAAGGGCUUUAGUGCUUAGGAAGAGCUCCCCUCUGCCAGUUGGCUGUUUAUCUCCCACUCGCCUUUUGGCUUGUUGUCCCUCGUUUUCUGCACUGCUGUCUUUUGAGUCCUUCUUUCGGAGGUUUUUAAGGAGAAAUCUAAUGCUUAUCUUGUGGAAGAAGUUAUAAUGUGGAGAUCCAUGAGCAGCCCCCAGGCCUUGAAGGACGUGGACUUCCUGAUAACAGGGGAUCAGCCAGGCAAGCUUAACCAGCUUUAUGAGGGAGCCAGACAGCACAUCCAAGCUGCAGUGUGCUGGACGAGCCUGGCCCAGUCGCCUCCAUCUGGCACAGAGGACAAGAGUCCAGUGUCUCGGGCUUCUCUGACACCCGGAGCCACCUGGAGUCCUGAAGGGCCCGGGACACCUCCCUCUGCCUGCCCCAGAGGAGGAAGCUGCAGUGAGUCACCCCGAAGCCCUUUGUCUAGAGGAGCCAGAGGGGAAAGGAGAGGGGAAGCUUCCUCCGAAGCCUGAGGGCGGAGAGGUGGGUGUGCUGCCCGCCCCCCUCAAGGCUAUUGUGGGCAUCAGGAACUGAGAUCCAGUGGGAAGACGGAGGAGGAGGGGGAGGGAGGAGCAGCUCACCUGACUUGUAUUCCACCAUCCAAACUGCAUGGUUCAGGCCAAGGCACUCAUCUCCAAGC